rnacentral:tRNA from 1 species
GCUGAGGUAGGCCAUCGGCGAGCCGCCUGUCUUAGGAACAGGUGCUUGCGGGUUCGACUCCCGCCCUCAGUAC